GAAAAUAGAAACUAAUUAAUACAUCCAGUCAAAUCAAACGACAGCCUAGCUAGCAAUACAUCGAUCCUCUCAUUCUGUCAAUAGCUAUACCGAUUCCAAGAUAGCUUUUCAAAGAUUUUCCAACUUUCAGCUAUCAUGACUUCUCAUUUCCCCAUUUCAAGAGCAAAUCAAUCUGGUUCUUCUCUCCAUCUACCUUCCAGAUCUAUUGUGUUAUGACUCCUCCUUUCUCUAACCAGGUAAGAUGCUUCCGUUUUCUCUAAUGCUCCUUUCACUAGGUUAUUUGCUUGGACAUUCUCCGAUCUAGGAAUAAACUGUAACGUUGCGAUUUUUGGGCCUAGAAGUAUUGGGCCUUGAGUCUGGAAUCGGGUAGAAGACGGCCCGAAUAAUUUGGAUAUUAUUAUUAUUUUUAUUAUUAUUUCGUAUGUUUAGUGUAGUAAUUAAAUAAAUUACGAAGGGUUACGGUGUGUAGAAAAGGUCCAAAGCUCGGCCUAUAGCUUUAGCAAAAUCUUAAAUUUUGCCUCAUAAGGAAAUCUGGGCAUAAGGCCUUAUAAACAAAUUGGGCAAGACUGGGCAUGAAGAAGCGUACCUGGCCUAGUGGUUAGCAUGCUAGGCAGUGGGAAGAAGAGUUGGGGUUCGACUCCCAGCAUGUGCAGAAGUGUUUUAUUUUUCUUUAUAUCAGGGAACAACACAGGGAACUUAUAUAUAGUUGGGGUUAAAAGGUAACACAAAGGGAAGCUCGGUCUAGUGGCAGAGGCGCUGGGAGUGUGGUAUAGUGCCUAGGUUCGAGGGUUGGCGCACGCAAAGGCUUGUUUUUAUUCUAGAAGCCAGGUCACACUAAAAUAAGGUUUAAGAAUAUUUGCGACCGAGUUUUGCUACAAGUACGCUUGUGGCGCAGUGGCAAUAGGGUGCUAGAAGUUCCACAAGGGCAUGGGUUCUAGUCCAGGCGCAGGUAUGUUUUAAGUUUAUAUUUUUAAAAUGAACGAGACUUCAGCAGGUAACCUUUAAGAUAAAAUGUGACGGUAUAUUGUUAAAAGCGAAUGCGCGUCUCAGUAGUUAGCAGCGUGCUGGACAACCUGGAGGUCUCAGGUUCGAGCAGCGUUACGCGCAAGAGAGUGCUUCUUUUUGCUGUACGCACAUGGGAACGGCCGUACGGGAUUGAAACUCUACCAGCAACAGGAGGAGUCGGCUGAGCGGUGGCCUGCUGCUGAGCAGUGAAGAGUUUGAAUUGGGCCAUGAAUUAAGGAGUUAAGGAAGGAAUUAAAAUUAGAAAAGGACUUUUGUGCCUAUUUAAGCACCUAUUCGGGCAUAAGCAUGAGGUGCCGAUUGCUUUUAUUUUGGGGGGCCUUCAUGAGUUAUAUCCUUCUUGGAGGUUUGGGAUAUUUUUUUUAGUGUGGUAGCUAAUUCUCUCCUUUUCUAUUUUCUUUCCUCGAAGUCAAAUUCUAUUUAAAACAAUUUUUUCUUUUCAAAUAUUGGUUGCCGAUUACUCCUUUGGUUGAAACCAUAUCUCAUUUCCUUUUAAUCUUUCAAAAGACCGAACCUCUAAUCUUACAUCUCUUCCUCUACUGAUUGUCUCUUCGAUGGUAAACUUAUCGUCACCUAUUUUUCUUUUAGAUCGCAAUAUCCAUAUUCUAGGAUAGAUCCAAAAGCCGAAAAGCUUCAUAUUUUAGUGAUUCAGGAAUUAAUAUUUAGAUCUAUUUUCCACGCACGUUUAAGUUAGAUUCACAACGGAUCUGAGGUAGUAAGGUAUUUGGAACGUUCUUCAACGAGUAGAUCUCUUGUGAGGAUUAAAGGCUGCCGAUCGAGGAGUGUGUGAAAAGCUUGAAUCAUCGGAGUGACUAAAUCUUAGUCAUCAAUUUCGGUAAAGGAGAAAUCGCGAAGGAGAUCUCGUCAAGGAAUAUUGCAAAUCAGGUGUGUAAACGACACCCACUCCUAGACUAGAUCGGCAAAAGCUGAAAAGUCGAAAUGCCGAAAAGUCGGCAUCUUGUGAACUUGCGAGCGUGCGAGCACUCGUGAGGUGGUUUGUUUGUUAAAUUUUGGUAAUCACAAGCGGUAUAAAUGCAGAGUGCGCAAUUUCGUGCACUUCGGUAUAUUUGGGCUUAAUGGGCCGAAAAUAGGUUAGUGGGCUAACGAGCCCAAUUCGGUAAAAACGUUCGGUAAGUGUUUUUGUUAAUGCGUUAAUGGUUAUAAUAUGUAUGUAAACUCUAGAAUAGUAAAUUUUACUAAAAUACCCUUAAGUAUGGAAAUUACCAUUAUACCCCUGGGUGCAAAAUGACCGUUAUACCCCUAGGGUCAAUUUUGAUCGAAAUGCACGAUAUUCUGAUUCUGUUGUUGUAUGUCAUGACAUGUAUAUCUGUUGCAUGGGAUUUGGGUUAUGUUAUGGAGGAAGAACCCGUUCUGGUGGCUGUGCCACAUGUUCUGAUAUAAGCAGCUUUGUUGCGGAUUAUAGUUAGUGCCACAACCGGUGCUAACACUGUAAGUGUAGGGAUGGCCUGGGUGAUUUAUUCCCCACAUGAAGUGUUGGGAUGGAUGGAGGCAAGUGCAGGGUUGGAUGGGGUUAUCAUGCAUUAAUCAUAUGAGACUGUUUUAUUAUGGGUCAACUGUAUUGAAAUGGGCCCAACUGUGUUAAUAUGGGCAAGGCCCAAUAUAUCUCGACUUGUAAUAGGGCUACGGCCCAGAUUAAUACUGAUAUGGGCUAGGCCUAAUAUUCUCUGAUACUGUAAGAGGCUAUGGCCCAGAUUAAUAUUGAUAUAGGCUAAGGCCCAGUUAACACUGAUUUCUGAAUAGGGCUUAGGCCCAAUAAAGCUUGAAUUGAUUUGGGCUCUGGUUAGGAUACUUUACACACUGAGUUUUCCAAACUCACCCCCCUUUCUCUUUCAUCCUUGCAGGUGAGCCUUAGUUGGUAGACUUGGAGCUGGGAUGGAUUCAGAGUGGCCAUGAAGAUUAGCUUCAUUUUAAAUUUCGCAUUUAUUUUUUAUUAUUUCUAUUUUGGUUAAAGCUGUAAUAAGCCCGCUCUAUUAUUUUUAUUUUGGGUUUUUAAAUUACUUAAAUCGUUUUCAACUUGAGAUUCACAUCACUGAAAUUGAUUCCUUAAAAUUGGUUUGCUCUAGGGCACGUUUUAUAAAAGUUAUUUAUUU
rnacentral:lncRNA from 1 species